GGGGGGGGGGGGGGGGGGGGGGGGGGGGGGGGGGGCGGGGGGGGGGGGGUGGUGGGGGGGGCGGGCGGGGGGGGCGGGCGGAGGAGCCUGCCCUGGGGAGGGGGACAGCAGCUGGGAACGGCUGCUAAUACCCCAUAGGCUGAGGAGCACAAGGAGGAAUCCGCCCCAGGGGGGGCUCGCGUCUGAUUAGUUAGUUGGUGAGGCAAUGGCUUACCAAGGCGCCGAUCAGUCGCUGGUCCGAGAGGAUGAGCAGCCACACUGGGACUGAGACACGGCCCAGACUCCUACGGGAGGCAGCAGUGGGGAAUUUUCCGCAAUGGGCGAAAGCCUGACGGAGCAAUGCCGCGGGAAGGCAGAAGGCCCACGGGUCAUGAACUUCUUUUCUCGGAGAAGAAAAAAUGACGGUAUCUGAGGAAUAAGCAUCGGCUAACUCUGUG
rnacentral:rRNA from 1 species